GCAGGCAACGACCCGAAGGGCGAAGCGCGCAGCGCUGAGUAAUCCUUCCCCCACCACCA
rnacentral:sRNA from 6 species